UGAGUCUGUACGAUGCGGGUUCUGUUUUUGAGUGAGUCUGUACGAUACGGGUUCUGCGUUUGAGUGAGUCUUCUGCGUUUGAGUGAGUCUGUACGAUGCGGGUUCUGCGUUUGAGUGAGUCUGUAUGAUGCGGGUUCUGUGUUUGAGUGAGUCUGUACGAUACGGGUUCUGCGUUUGAGUGAGUCUUCUGCGUUUGAGUGAGUCUGUACGAUGCGGGUUCUGCGUUUGAGUGAGUCUGUAUGAUGCGGGUUCUGUGUUUGAGUGAGUCUGUACGAUACGGGUUCUGCGUUUGAGUGAGUCUUCUGCGUUUGAGUGAGUCUGUACGAUGCGGGUUCUGCGUUUGAGUGAGUCUGUAUGAUGCGGGUUCUGUGUUUGAGUGAGUCUGUACGAUACGGGUUCUGCGUUUGAGUGAGUCUUCUGCGUUUGAGUGAGUCUGUACGAUGCGGGUUCUGCGUUUGAGUGAGUCUGUAUGAUGCGGGUUCUGUGUUUGAGUGAGUCUGUACGAUACGGGUUCUGCGUUUGAGUGAGUCUUCUGCGUUUGAGUGAGUCUGUACGAUGCGGGUUCUGCGUUUGAGUGAGUCUGUAUGAUGCGGGUUCUGUGUUUGAGUGAGUCUGUACGAUACGGGUUCUGCGUUUGAGUGAGUCUUCUGCGUUUGAGUGAGUCUGUACGAUGCGGGUUCUGCGUUUGAGUGAGUCUGUAUGAUGCGGGUUCUGUGUUUGAGUGAGUCUGUACGAUACGGGUUCUGCGUUUGAGUGAGUCUUCUGCGUUUGAGUGAGUCUGUACGAUGCGGGUUCUGCGUUUGAGUGAGUCUGUAUGAUGCGGGUUCUGUGUUUGAGUGAGUCUGUACGAUACGGGUUCUGCGUUUGAGUGAGUCUUCUGCGUUUGAGUGAGUCUGUACGAUGCGGGUUCUGCGUUUGAGUGAGUCUGUAUGAUGCGGGUUCUGUGUUUGAGUGAGUCUGUACGAUACGGGUUCUGCGUUUGAGUGAGUCUUCUGCGUUUGAGUGAGUCUGUACGAUGCGGGUUCUGCGUUUGAGUGAGUCUGUAUGAUGCGGGUUCUGUGUUUGAGUGAGUCUGUACGAUACGGGUUCUGCGUUUGAGUGAGUCUUCUGCGUUUGAGUGAGUCUGUACGAUGCGGGUUCUGCGUUUGAGUGAGUCUGUAUGAUGCGGGUUCUGUGCUUGAGUGAGUCUGUACAAUAAGGUGAGUCUUUACGAUACGGGUUCUGUGCUUGAGUGAGUCUGUACGAUACGGGUUCUGUGCUUGAGGAGUCUGUACGGUACGGGUUCUGUGCUUGAGUGAGUCUGUACAAUAAGGGUUCUGUGUUUGAGGAGUCUGUACGGUACGGGUUCUGUGCUUGAGUGAGUCUGUACAAUAAGGGUUCUGUGUUUGAGGAGUCUGUACGGUACGGGUUCUGUGCUUGAGUGAGUCUGUACGAUAAGGUGAGUCUGUAUGAUGCAGGUUCUGUGUUUGAGUGAGUCUG